rnacentral:rRNA from 1 species
CGAAGGGGCGUAGCGUUGUUCGGAAUUACUGGGCGUAAAGACGCACGUAGGCGGAUAUUUAAGUUCAGGGGUGGAAAUACCCAGAGCUCAACUCUGGAACUGCCUUUGUAUACUGGGUAUCUUGAGUAUGGAAGAGGUAAGUGGAAUUCCGAGUGUAGAGGUGAAAUUCGUAGAUAUUCGGAGGAACACCAGUGGCGAAGGCGGCUUACUGGUCCAUUACUGACGCUGAGGUGCGAAAGCGUGGGGAGCAAACAGGAUU